AACGCCGGGAAUCUUACCGGAGGGGACAGCAGUAUGAAGGCCAGGCUAAAGACCUUGCCAGAUCAGCUGAGAGGAGGUGCAUGGCCGUCGCCAGUUCGUACCGUGAGGCAUCCUGUUUAGUCAGGCAACGAUCGAGGCCCGUAGUCUUAUUUGCCAGCAUGCCCUUUGGGGUGUAUGGGUACAAUAAGACGACCGCCAGCGUUAAGCUGGAGGAAGGAGCGGGCUACGGUAGGUCAGCAUGCCCCGAAUCCUCCGGGAUACACGCGGGCUACAAUGGUCAGGACAAAAGGUACCGACCUCGAAAGAGUGAGGUAAUCCACAAACCUGAUCUCAGUCCGGAUCGAAGGCUGCAACUCGCCUUCGUGAAGAUGGAAUCGGUAGUAAUCGUGACUCAAAAUGUCACGGUGAAUAUGUCCCUGCUCCUU
rnacentral:rRNA from 1 species